AAGCAGGCCGCCGGAACUGUAUCCCUUUGUAAGAUCAAGCGAUGACUGCGGCUUGACGCCGACGUGGUAAUCUCAAUCGCCGUUUUCAUCAGCUUCUGCAACCAUCAGAUUCUAUUUCAGACUAAGUGUGUGUAUGUGACGCGGCGGUGGCGGAUAAUUAAAAGUAUAAAUACACCCCCUCUGCCCAUCUCUCUUUUCUGCUGCGCCAGGUUUACGCCAAACCAAUUAGAGGAAAAGCAAGCAAGGGAUGAUCGAUCGGAUCCACCACCACCGCGUCUCUCUUUUCUCCGCGUCAACACAGAGAGAGGAAGAAGAAGGAGAAAGAAUUGUAUUCUCUUUUCGUACUUCCAUUUUCUCUAGAUCUGAUCUUCCGGUUUGAUCAACGUUGGUGAUGAUUUCUAUAAGUUUUACGGAAUUAGAGAGAGGCGAUGAUCAUCCGAAUUCAUUGGCAAGGUUAAUUAUAACAUAAGAUCGUUCCACCACCACCACCACGGACAAAAACUAUGUUGAAUCGCACUCUUCUAGACUCGAUCCUAAUACCGGUGAAGGUAAAAACAGUUGGAAGGUCUUCACAGAGACAAACUCCGUCUUCGCCGUGCAGGAGCCGCCUGGAUUUCCAGCGUGCCGACACCUACCUCCGAUGUCAACAUUCCAACCUCCAACAGACUUGUUUCCAGGCGCGGAUCAGGUCGUUAAAAUUCGAGUCAUUAAGAUCGAUCGGAAAAGCAAGCCCAUCUCUCUUUACUCCGCGUCUCUCUUCUCGGUCGGUCGGAGUUCUGCGCCAGUUAAGAGGAGAAGUGUGAUCGGAGAGUGAAAUCCACCACCCGACGACCAUUCCUUCCACAUCAUCCUCAGAGAACCUAUGAGUGCACUGUUCAUAGUUGCAGUCUGGGUUGAUGUACAAUCAGCCAAGCAAAAGGGAAACAAUGGAGAAAGAUACAUCUGCCACCCAAGUAUGAAGAUUACACAAAAAAAAGUCCAAUUCAGAAUUAAAAGUAUCAAUACACUCCUCCACCACCGAAUUCUCCGCGUCUCUCUUCUCGGUCGGUCGGAGCUCUACGCCAUUUAAGAGGAGAAGUGUGAUCGGAGAGUGAAAUCCACUACCCAACGACCGUUCCUUCCACAUCAUCC